CCGUGCCAGCAGCCGCGGUAAUACGGAGGGUGCGAGCGUUAAUCGGAAUUACUGGGCGUAAAGCGCAUGCAGGUGGUUUGUUAAGUCAGAUGUGAAAGACCCGGGGCGUCAACCUCGGAAUAGCAUUUGAAACUGGCAGACUAGAGUACUGUAGAGGGGGGUAGGAAUUUCAGGUGUAGCGGUGAAAUGCGUAGAGAUCUGAAGGAAUACCGGUGGCGAAGGCGGCCCCCUCGGACAGAUACUGACACUCAGACUGCGAAAGCGUGGGGAGCCAAACAGGAUUAGAUACCCCUGGUAG
rnacentral:rRNA from 1 species